CGGGUGAGUAACACGUAUCCAACCUGCCUCAUACUCGGGGAUAGCCUUUCGAAAGAAAGAUUAAUAUCCGAUAGCAUAUAUUUCCCGCAUGGGUUUUAUAUUAAAGAAAUUCGGUAUGAGAUGGGGAUGCGUUCCAUUAGUUUGUUGGCGGGGUAACGGCCCACCAAGACUACGAUGGAUAGGGGUUCUGAGAGGAAGGUCCCCCACAUUGGAACUGAGACACGGUCCAAACUCCUACGGGAGGCAGCAGUGAGGAAUAUUGGUCAAUGGACGCGAGUCUGAACCAGCCAAGUAGCGUGAAGGAUGACUGCCCUAUGGGUUGUAAACUUCUUUUAUAUGGGAAUAAAGUGGUCCACGUGUGGAUUUUUGUAUGUACCAUAUGAAUAAGGAUCGGCUAACUCCGUGCCAGCAGCCGCGGUAAUACGGAGGAUCCGAGCGUUAUCCGGAUUUAUUGGGUUUAAAGGGAGCGUAGGCGGAUUGUUAAGUCAGUUGUGAAAGUUUGCGGCUCAACCGUAAAAUUGCAGUUGAUACUGGCAGUCUUGAGUGCAGUAGAGGUGGGCGGAAUUCGUGGUGUAGCGGUGAAAUGCUUAGAUAUCACGAAGAACUCCGAUUGCGAAGGC
rnacentral:rRNA from 1 species